GUGCUGGCUUCGGCAGCACACAUACUAAAAUUGGAACAAUAGAGAAGAUUAGCAUGGCCCCUGCGCAAGAUGACACACAUACUCAUGAAGUGUUCCAUAUUAAA